UGGGGAAUUUUGGACAAUGGGCGAAAGCCUGAUCCGGCAAUGCCGCGUGUGUGAAGAAGGCCUUCGGGUUGUAAAGCACUUUUGUCCGGAAAGAAAUCCUUGGCUCUAAUACAGUCGGGGGAUGACGGUACCGGAAGAAUAAGCACCGGCUAACUACGUGCCAGCAGCCGCGGUAAUACGUAGGGUGCAAGCGUUAAUCGGAAUUACUGGGCGUAAAGCGUGCGCAGGCGGUUUGCUAAGACCGAUGUGAAAUCCCCGGGCUCAACCUGGGAACUGCAUUGGUGACUGGCAGGCUAGAGUAUGGCAGAGGGGGGUAGAAUUCCACGUGUAGCAGUGAAAUGCGUAGAGAUGUGGAGGAAUACCGAUGGCGAAGGCAGCCCCCUGGGCCAAAUACUGACGCUCAUGCACGAAAAGCGUGGGGAGCAAACAGGAUUAGAUACCCUGGUAGUCCACGCCCUAAAACGAUGUCAACUAGUUGUUGGGGAUUCAUUUCCUUAGUAACGUAGCUAACGCGUGAAGUUGACCGCCUGGGGAGUACGGUCGCAAGAUUAAAACUUAAAUGAAUUGACGGGGUCAUAGCUGUUUCCU
rnacentral:rRNA from 1 species